rnacentral:rRNA from 1 species
GACGAACCGUGCGAACGUUGUUCGGAUUCACUGGGCUUAAAGGGCGCGUAGGCGGGCGGUCAAGUCAGGGGUGAAAUCUUUCAGCUCAACUGGAAAAGGGCCUUUGAUACGGAUCGCCUCGAGGGAGGUAGGGGCAUGUGGAACUUCCGGUGGAGCGGUGAAAUGCGUAGAGAUGUGGAGGAACACCGAUGGCGAAGGCAGCCCCCUGGGGUAACACUGACGCUCAUGCACGAAAGCGUAGGGAGCAAAAGGG